UAAAACGCUUCAGGUGAUACCCCUUCAUGAACAGCACCAUUAGCUCCUCCAUUUUCAACAGCUGUAAUGAUACCUGCACGAAUAACCCAAUCACCAAAGUGUUCACCAUCUUCACGCUCCAAGGCGUAACGCUUGAUAAGCGGACGCAACAAAUUGAGGAUUUCUUUUUCUUGAACGGAAGAGCGAUAUAGCUUGUUUAAUCUCUGACCGUAAAAUCCUCCACCAAGCAUUAGAUUGUAAGUAUUUGGUGCCUUACCGACACACGCAAUUUCAGCAACCCA